rnacentral:rRNA from 1 species
CGUGUAGGCGGGAAGGAAAGUCAGAUGUGAAAUCCCCAGGCUCAACCUGGGAACUGCAUUUGAAACUCCCUUUCUUGAGUACCGGAGAGGAAAGUGGAAUUCCUGGUGUAGAGGUGAAAUUCGUAGAUAUCAGGAGGAACACCAGUGGCGAAGGCGGCUUUCUGGACGGUAACUGACGCUGAGACGCGAAAGCGUGGGGAGAAC